AUUGAACGCUGGCGGCAUGCCUUACACAUGCAAGUCGAACGGUAACGGGCCUUCGGGUGCCGCCGAGUGGCGAACGGGUGAGUAAUACAUCGGAACGUGCCCGAUCGUGGGGGAUAACGAGGCGAAAGCUUUGCUAAUACCGCAUACGAUCUACGGAUGAAAGCAGGGGACCGCAAGGCCUUGCGCGGACGGAGCGGCCGAUGGCAGAUUAGGUAGUUGGUGGGAUAAAAGCUUACCAAGCCGACGAUCUGUAGCUGGUCUGAGAGGAUGAUCAGCCACACUGGGACUGAGACACGGCCCAGACUCCUACGGGAGGCAGCAGUGGGGAAUUUUGGACAAAGGGCGCAAGCCUGAUCCAGCCAUGCCGCGUGCAGGAUGAAGGCCUUCGGGUUGUAAACUGCUUUUGUACGGAACGAAAAGCCUUCUUUUAAUACAGGAGGGUCAUGACGGUACCGUAAGAAUAAGCACCGGCUAACUACGUG
rnacentral:rRNA from 1 species